rnacentral:rRNA from 1 species
UACGUAGGGUGCGAGCGUUAAUCGGAAUUACUGGGCGUAAAGCGUGCGCAGGCGGUUCGCCAAGUCAGAUGUGAAAGCCCCGGGCUUAACCUGGGAACUGCGUUUGAAACUGAGGAGCUAGAGUGUGGAAGAGGGGGGUGGAAUUCCAGGUGUAGCAGUGAAAUGCGUAGAGAUCUGGAGGAACACCGAUGGCGAAGGCAGCCCCCUGGGCUA